UACGUAGGGGGCCAGCGUUGCUCGGAAUUACUGGGCGUAAAGGGUUCGUAGGUGGUGCGGCAAGUUGGGAGUGAAAUCUCUGGGCUUAACUCAGAGGCUGCUUUCAAAACUGCCGCGCUCGAGUGCGAGAGAGGUCAGUGGAAUUGCAGGUGUAGCGGUGAAAUGCGUAGAUAUCUGCAGGAACACCCGUGGCGAAGGCGGCUGACCUGGAUCGCAACUGACACUGAGGAACGAAAGGCUAGGGAGCAAACAGG
rnacentral:rRNA from 1 species